rnacentral:rRNA from 1 species
AAGCGUUAUCCGGAAUUAUUGGGCGUAAAGCGUCCGCAGGCGGUCUUGUAAGUCUGUUGUUAAAGCGUGGAGCUUAACUCCAUUUCAGCAAUGGAAACUGCAAGACUAGAGUGUGGUAGGGGCAGAGGGAAUUCCCGGUGUAGCGGUGAAAUGCGUAGAUAUCGGGAAGAACACCAGUGGCGAAGGCGCUCUGCUGGGCCAUAACUGACGCUCAUGGACGAAAGCCAGGGGAGCGAAAGGGAUUAGAUACCCCUGUAGUCCUGGCCGUAAACGAUGAACACUAGGUGUCGGGGGAAUCGACCCCCUCSGUGUCGUAGCCAACGCGUUAAGUGUUCCGCCUGGGGAGUACGCACGCAAGUGUGAAACUCAAA